UUUUUUAGGAUGUUUUAAGGAAAAAUGAUAUCGUUUUUUGAAAAAGUGUAUUUCGAAAAAUCUCAAUAUAUGUCAUUCAACAAUCAAACCAUACUAGUGUCAUAACUUUGGUAAAAAUUUCACCUGAAGAAAAAAUAUAAAUUAGAAAACUUAUGGGACACAAACCUAACCUAGAAGCAAAAACUGGAGAAGGAAAAGAAAAAAGUAACAGAAAAACAGGUUUUUGAUAUUCUAUAUUGUCGAUGAAAUGUAUCGUUCCAUUUUAAUUAAAUGAACGUUAGGAAAAAGUUCAAAAUGUCCAUACCACACAAUAUUCUAGAAAAAUAUCAAUGUGUUUACUACUUGUGACUACGUUUAAUGCCUUCUAAACUCAAAUACUCAUUUAAAUAGAAAACAUAAUCCUUGGCCUCUUAUAAUCAAACUGGAAUGCCAUAAAUUCUAAUCGAGUACCGAAGACUUGUGUUGCCUACCAUAUAUGAGUUGAAAUAUGGUGUCUAAAAAACAAAUGAAAUAUUAGAAAUGAAAACUUUCAGGCCCCCGAUAAGAACAUUAUACGAAUAUUCAAUAUAAAACACAUGAACACAAAAAUCAUCACCGGUUGAGCGAGUGAUCAUAUUCCCAGAAUCUUCAUAAUACUGUUCCGUAUGCAAGGGAUCAAGACCAUGAGGAAUAUCUCAUUUCUGCAUCUUAAAUCAUCCAUUAAAGAAAUAAUGAAACUUCAAAACCUUGCAACAUAUUCCCAUUUCCAAAAUUUAAUCACAAUAACGUCACCCUUGAAGCAAAGUGUAGGCAAAUAGUUCAACAAUAUAUCACAUGUGUUCUUUGAGACUUGCAUAAACGAUUUGCUUGGAUUUCCUGACACAUCGAUAUCCAAUUUCCAAUAUAUUGUCAAUACAAUAUAUAACUAUAGUUUUUGUUCGGAUGACUAAGAGAGGAGUUGGUUAAGGUCGUGUAUGCAUUAAAGCGAUAUGGUGCUAAGAACUCCUAAACAAUUGACAAUUAAAAUCAAUACACCCAUAACCUGAUAAAAAAGAUACAUUGGUAAAAAAAAUUGAUUAAAAUGUAUGGUUUUAAAUCAAGACAAACUUUCACAAUUUACUAUUUCUUUGUAGUACAAUAGCUAUUUGAAAUAUAAAAUUUGAAUUUAAACAAGUGUUUUUCACCAUUCAAAGCUAGUUGGUUUAGGACAACUAUUUCAAUUAACCUCUCAAAUACUUUUGCAUGAAUAAUUAAUUUUAUCGUGGAAGUGAAACAGCCAUAAUAGACGUGUAGUCUAAUAGGUUGUGAUUUGUUUGUUUGUCGAGUUCUUUAAAUUAUAAAAACUAACAAAAAAGAACAUAAUGAUUCACAUCAUUGAGGAAACUGAGUUCCUUGUUUAAAAAAUUAUUUGUCAUAUUUUACAAACAUUAAAUAUUAAUUUAAAGAUUUAAAUUUCAAUCAUGGAUAAACUAUGAAGUUUUCUAUAUAGUUACAACAUAUUUUUAUUUAUAUAAAUCUAUUUUUAUAAUAAUAAAUGUGUGUUUAAAUAUUAAGGUAUAGAAUAAUCUAGAUAGGUUUAACUAUUUAAUGAAAUUUAAGGGAGUAGAACCCAACAUAACAUUAAUUGUUGAUAAUUAAUAAAAAUCUAUUAUGAAUUAUUAAGUUCAUAAUCAAAUUACUUUCUAUUUUUACAAAAAUGCGCCGUUUAAACUGCAGGUCAUUAAUAAUAGCUUUAUUAAAUUUAUUUUUUAUAGGAAACAUUUUAAAUUGAAAAUACAUGAGUUAAGAAGAAAAAAAUAUUCAAAAGAAUAAAACAUGAAUUUUUCUCCAAAGCUGGGAGUCGAACCCAGAAUUCAUAAUGUUGAAUUUGCCUGGAGUGCUACUUUGGAAUUAUGCUAUACAUCUACAAAUUUAUGUUUAUAUACUAUACCAUUAUUUGUUUUUUAAUAUUAUAAACUUUAUCACAUUUAAAAACCUUGUUAAUGAAUGUAAUGAUUACCGAGUAAUUUAUAAUAAAAGAUAUUGAAAUAAUUUUUGGUGUUCUCAAAGAACGAUAUUAAAAUAAGUUUAGGAAAAUUAAAAUCAAAAUGAACUUCUUUUUAAAAUUAAUAUAACGAAUAUGCGUAAAAUACCAAAAGAAACAUUAUAUUGAUAUUAUUUUCGCUAACUUCUCAUAUAAUAACAUUAUUAAGAGACUUUUUUUUUGUGUGAAAAAAACAUGUGACUUUUAAUAUGUUAAAAUAGUACAAAAAUGAACAAAUAAGUUAAUGAAUAUCACUUGUAGUAUUUUAAUUUAUAACAAAUGAGAUUGCAAUAACAGCCAAUACUUUAGAGUAAACUUUAAUUAAAUCGUUUUUUAGGAUGUUUUAAGGAAAAAUGAUAUCGUUUUUUGAAAAAGUGUAUUUCGAAAAAUCUCAAUAUAUGUCAUUCAACAAUCAAACCAUACUAGUGUCAUAACUUUGGUAAAAAUUUCACCUGAAGAAAAAAUAUAAAUUAGAAAACUUAUGGGACACAAACCUAACCUAGAAGCAAAAACUGGAGAAGGAAAAGAAAAAAGUAACAGAAAAA
rnacentral:lncRNA from 1 species